UGCCUAUAAUAAUUUAAAUCAUUGCUUUCAUUGCAGAUACUUCAACAACAGACAGUUCUUCUGCAGAUACAGAUGAGAAUUUGGAAGGGGAUGAAAAUGAUGAGACACCAAAUGGAGAUCUGCCUGAACCUAGAGGUAAUGAUGCUGUACCGGUAAAUGAACCAGAGCCGGUGACACAAGAGGUUGAAAAUGAACAGCCAAAGAAGAAAAAAAAGAAAACAAAAACAAGAUUUGAAUUGUCACUGGAGUCAUUCAAUGCG